GACGAACGCUGGCGGCGUGCUUAACACAUGCAAGUCGAACGAAGUGGCGAACGGGUGAGUAACGCGUAAUCAACCUGCCCUUCAGAGGGGGACAACAGUUGGAAACGACUGCUAAUACCGCAUACUGAAGGUGGGGAUUGCGUCUGAUUAGCUAGUUGGAGGGGUAACGGCCCAACAAGGCGAUGGUCAGUAGCCGGUUUGAGAGGAUGAACGGCCACAUUUGGACUGGAAAAAGGCCCAGAAUCCGACGGGAGGCAGCAGGGGGGAAUCUUCCGCAAUUGGGGAAAGUCUGACGAAGCAACGCCGCGUGAGUGAUGACGGCCUUCGGGUUGUAAAGCUCUGUUAAUCGGGACGCGGUACCGGAAUAGAAAGCCACGGCUAACUACGUGCCAGCCGCCGCGGUAAUAC
rnacentral:rRNA from 1 species